CCGAGCGUUAGGCGGAAUCACUGGGCUUAAAGCGUGUGUAGGCGGAUGGGUAAGUACCUUGUGAAAUCCCACGGCUCAACCGUGGAACUGCUCGGUAUACUGCUCGUCUUGAGCCAACUAGGGGCGACCGGAACAAACGGUGGAGCGGUGAAAUGCGUAGAUAUCGUUUGGAACGCCGAUGGUGAAAACAGGUCGCUGGGGUUGUGCUGACGCUGAGACACGAAAGCCAGGGGAGCGAACGGG
rnacentral:rRNA from 1 species